GCAGACCCCCGAAGGUCCCUGAGGUCAGGCUGAGGCAUUGGACCAAAUCCGUACAUAGGCAUUUCUCUGAACUGCGCGCCACCUUUUGAGUGCCAUCUGUUUCCGUCCAGGACUCUGAUACAACUAUCCAGUCCGCUGCAGGGACCGGUCACUGUGUCACACAUUCUGUACACAGAUACAGCGAUAAAAUGAAAUGACUGGAACUUAAAUGUGAAAACUCUUUACAAGUAAGCCCACAAUUAGAUACAUUUAUCUUACAUGUCAGGGAAAAAAAUUAUGUAAAC
rnacentral:lncRNA from 1 species